GCCUGUAUGGUGUUGUGGUUUGAAUGUUGGACUAGGACUCUGGAGACCAGGGUUCGAAUCCAUGCUCAGCCA